rnacentral:rRNA from 1 species
GAUGAACGCUGGCGGCGUGCCUAAUACAUGCAAGUCGAACGGGAGAAGCUGGGAGUAAUCUCGGCUUUGAGAGUGGCGGACGGGUGAGUAACACGUAGGCGACCUGCCCCGAAGUGGGGGAUAACGGCUGGAAACAGCCGCUAAGACCCCAUAAGCUCACGGGGGUUAGACGACCUGUGAGAAAAGAUUAAUCGCUUCGGGAGGGGCCUGCGGCCCAUCAGGUAGUUGGUGAGGUCACGGCNCACCAAGCCAAUGACGGGUAGGGGGCCU